GUGUUUUCCUUUUGUUAAUCAAUCAGUGGGGGGUGACGUGACGAGUAACUUCGGUUUACUGUCUGCUUAGCUAGGUUUAUCAGUAUUAAGAGAGUAGUAACUGGUGGUGCUGGUAUAGUGGUAUAGUCUUCAAGUCAGGAGGGUCACUGGCAAAUUAUGGUGGGGUGUAGUUCAAGAAGAUGUCGAUCGAUUUCGUUUCAAAAUGUCGAUGAAUGUGUGUUUGUGUAAGGUUACAUUUGCAUUUGCUGCAAGCUGGUCUAGUACUUAUUUGUCUGCAAACUACCUACUUCACUUUGGUCCCAAAAACAAAAAUGCAAACGUACACAGGUUUGGGGGUCGCAACUCGCAAGCAAGUACUCCUGCAAAAGGAUCAGCUCUUCUGUUUGCUUUCUGGCAUGUACCGGACCGCCCCUGAUCCGGGUUUUGGACCAUGCAUGGCAUGGCAUUGAUGCUUCGCUGAUUCUCGUUUCUGUAAAUCAGACAGCAUGUACUCCAAUCGGCGCUGAGAUGACUGUUUGUGUAUUCAGGUGGAGGGAUCGCUAUCCCUCCCCCGGUGACAGUUCAAAAAAAAAAAA
rnacentral:lncRNA from 1 species